AUUAAUAUCUCAUAGUAUUAUUUUGCGGCAUCGUAUAAUAAUUAAAGAUUUAUUGGUAAGAGAUGAGCAUGCGUUCUAUUAGCUAGUAGGUGUGGUAACGGCACACCUAGGCGACGAUAGAUAGGGGUCCUGAGAGGGAGAUCCCCCACACUGGUACUGAGACACGGACCAGACUCCUACGGGAGGCAGCAGUGAGGAAUAUUGGUCAAUGGACGCAAGUCUGAACCAGCCAUGCCGCGUGCAGGAAGACUGCCCUAUGGGUUGUAAACUGCUUUUAAACGGGAAGAAACCCCCCAACGUGUUGGGGGCUGACGGUACCGUAAGAAUAAGGAUCGGCUAACUCCGUGCCAGCAGCCGCGGUAAUACGGAGGAUCCGAGCGUUAUCCGGAAUCAUUGGGUUUAAAGGGUCCGUAGGCGGCUAUAUAAGUCAGUGGUGAAAUCUGUUAGCUCAACUAACAAAUUGCCAUUGAUACUGUAUAGCUUGAAUAAUUGUGAAGUAGCUAGAAUAUGUAGUGUAGCGGUGAAAUGCUUAGAUAUUACAUGGAAUACCAAUUGCGAAGGCAGGUUACUAACAAUUUAUGACGCUG
rnacentral:rRNA from 1 species